CCCUUAGAUGUCCUGGGCCGCACGCGCGCUACACUGAGUGUCUGAGAUACGAGUCUGCCUGGUCCGGCAAGGUCUAGGUAAUCGCUAAAAGACACAUCAUGCUUGGGAUAGAUUAUUGCAAAUAUUAAUCUUGAACGAGGAAUUCCUAGUAAGCGCAAGUCAACAGCUUGCGUUGAUUACGUCCCUGCCCUUUGUACACACCGCCCGUCGCUACUACUGAUUGGAUGUUUAAGCGAGGUUCUCGAACUGCUAGCGACUUAGCUUCGGUGAGGUCGCAGUGUGGGAAGUGAACCUAGCUUUGGUGUCUAGAGGAUGUAAAAGUCGUAACA
rnacentral:rRNA from 1 species